UUGAAAAAUUGGGAACGCGUGUUUUAU
rnacentral:piRNA from 1 species